CACCAGAAAUCAAGAAUACUCUCAACAGUUCAGCACCAAACUCGUUUGGCACCACUGCCUCUGCGCAACCUCGCCCUUCCGGCACCGGGAAAACUCCGUGCAGUCAAACUAAUGGCGUCAAUGAAGCCAAUGACCUCUACAAGAUUUUCUUCCACGUGGUGGUGGCCAUUUUGGCCAUUGUGCUGGCUGGGUAUCCGAUACUCAUCUACAAGUAUUUACACAAAGACACACCCAUUGUAGAGCAAGUGGACAUGACUUGUUUUAAAGAAGAAACGAAGGAUGACUCCGAUUACUGUCAUCUCCAAAAGACAGAAAACGCGGACGUAUACAAUGUUUUACACCACUAAUCCAUACGCAUAUACAGUACUGUCUUGUCUGGCACAUUACCUGUACACAUUGGUGGAAAUGGAUAUUUACAAGUGAUGGUAUUAAAUCUAUUUAGUACCACCGUAAUUACCAAUGCUUAUGGUUUUAUUUACCAGGUAAAGCCCACCGAGCUCUUUUUCAGAGGUGACCUGACCACACAUGAUAGCUCAUCAAAGUGGCAUAAAUAAUCAUUAUCACACGUGGGAAUUUAUAGUAUGUUGUACGUUUGCCUUUUCCAAAAAAAUAUUACAAAAAUGUGAUAUUGUUUAUUUUUAAUGUCAUAGCUCCUUUGUACACCUGUACACGUGCAUUCAUUGUUCUCCUAGAGUUGAAAAACUUAAGGGACAAAGCCAAUUAUCACCUGAAUGAGAAGCUGGAAAACAGAAUACAAGAGUCUUUGAUAGCUCGAACCGUACUCAAUCCGUACUCAAUCGUAGCUCGAUUCGUGCUCGAUCCGUGCGAUCAGAGGUCGAUCCGUGCUCUAUCAGUGCUCGAUCGGAGCUCAAUCGAUGCUCGAUCCAUUCUUGAUCUGUGCUCAAUCAUUGUUCGAUCGAUGGUCAAUCAGAGCUUGAUCGGUGCUCUAUCGAUGGUCCAUUGAAGCUUGUUUGGCCCUUUUCCUGAUGCAAUACUCUUGAACUAACGCAUGCAUACACAAACACAUGUAAUGCAUCGUGAGUAAAUAAAGACAACGUAAAUUGAAAAAAAACAUUUGAAAUUGUAUUUCACACGUACACAAGUAUUAUACACAGAUACACCCACAUUUACGUAUAUUUUUUGUAUUAUUUAUCCAUCUUAUUUUUUAAGUGUAAUCAUUGCUAAAGGUACAUUAAACUAACAUAUACCUGUCACAAAAUGGGAGAAUUUCUGUAAAAAAACUUUAUAGGUAAAAUCUUCAGGCGUUCAAAGGCAAAACGUA